rnacentral:rRNA from 1 species
AAAUCAGGUAGGACUACCCGCUGAACUUAAGCAUAUCAAUAAGCGGAGGAAAAGAAACUAACAAGGAUUCCCCUAGUAACUGCGAGUGAAGCGGGAAAAGCUCAAAUUUAAAAUCUGGCGGUCUUUGGCCGUCCGAGUUGUAGUCUGGAGAAGUGCUUUCCGCGCUGGACCGUCAAA